rnacentral:rRNA from 1 species
UCGAGCGGUAGAGAGAAGCUUGCUUCUCUUGAGAGCGGCGGACGGGUGAGUAAUGCCUAGGAAUCUGCCUGGUAGUGGGGGAUAACGUUCGGAAACGGACGCUAAUACCGCAUACGUCCUACGGGAGAAAGCAGGGGACCUUCGGGCCUUGCGCUAUCAGAUGAGCCUAGGUCGGAUUAGCUAGUUGGUGAGGUAAUGGCUCACCAAGGCUACGAUCCGUAACUGGUCUGAGAGGAUGAUCAGUCACACUGGAACUGAGACACGGUCCAGACUCCUACGGGAGGCAGCAGUGGGGAAUAUUGGACAAUGGGCGAAAGCCUGAUCCAGCCAUGCCGCGUGUGUGAAGAAGGUCUUCGGAUCGUAAAGCUCUGUUGUCAGGGAAGAACAAGUGCCGUUCGAACAGGGCGGUACCUUGACGGUACCUGACGAGGAAGCCACGGCUAACUACGUGCCAGCAGCCGCGGUAAU